rnacentral:rRNA from 1 species
AUUGAACGCUGGCGGCAGGCCUAACACAUGCAAGUCGAGCGGUUGAGGUAGCUUGCUACCGAUGCAGCGGCGAACGGGUGAGUAAUGCAUGGGAAUCUGCCUGGUAGUGGGGGACAACGUUUCGAAAGGAACGCUAAUACCGCAUACGCCCUACGGGGGAAAGGGGGGGAUCGCAAGACCUCUCGCUAUCAGAUGAGCCCAUGUCAGAUUAGCUAGUUGGUGAGGUAAAGGCUCACCAAGGCGACGAUCUGUAACUGGUCUGAGAGGAUGAUCGGUCACACUGGAACUGAGACACGGUCCAGACUCCUACGGGAGGCAGCAGUGGGGAAUAUUGGACAAUGGGGGCAACCCUGAUCCAGCCAUGCCGCGUGUGUGAAGAAGGCCUUAGGGUUGUAAAGCACUUUCAGUGGGGAGAAAGGUGAUUCACCUAAUACGUGAGUCAAUUGAUGCUACCCACAGAAGAAGCACCGGCUAACUCCGUGCCAGCCGCCGCGGUAA